CCCUUAGAUGUUCUGGGCUGCACGCGCGCUACACUGAUGCUUUCAUCGAGUAUAUAACCUUACCAGACAUGGUUGGGUAAUCUUUUGAAACAGCAUCGUGAUGGGGAUAGAUUAUUGUAAUUAUUAGUCUUCAACGAGGAAUUCCUAGUAAGCGCGAAUCAUCAGUUCGUGCUGAUUACGUCCCUGCCCUUUGUACACACCGCCCGUCGCUCCUACCGAUUGAGCGAUCCGGUGAAUGUUUUGGACUGGCGUCAGAAGCGGUUCGCUCCUGACACUACGAAAUUUUGUAAACCUUAUCGCUUAGAGGAAGGAAAAGUCGUAACA
rnacentral:rRNA from 1 species